AACAAUUUUUUUUUUUGCAUUCUCAGUAGUAAUUUUUUUGCUCUUUAUUGGAUAUUUAUUUACAAGUUUAAUGCUUUGUUCAAAUAAGAAAAAAGAAUUACAAAUUUAAGAUUUGGGUUUUUUAUUCUAUUUCAUACAUUUUUUAACUUGCUUAAAAUUGAUAUUGUAAAAGAAAUUUAAUUUUUAAUAAUUUAAAAAAGUUAAAUUUGAUGAUAAAUAAAUCUAUUUAUGUGUUUGUUUACCAAAAUCAAAUCACGUUUUCUGUAUAUAAAAAC
rnacentral:lncRNA from 1 species